AGGUAUGAUAAGGUAUAGAUACAACAUCCUGUUGAAACAAGGUCCGUAUCGCUCUGUUGUUGAAUGGACCAACAUGACAUAAUGACAACAUCCUGUUGAAACAAGGUUCGUAUCGCUCUGUUGUUGUUGAAUGGACCAAAUAAAAACUCAUCUUUCUUACUAAGGGCCGGUUCCCCUCUCUCCACUGGGAUUCUCUGCCUCUAACCCUGUUACUGGGGCUGAGUCACUGGCUUGCUGGUGCUCUUUCAUGCCGUCCCUAGGAGGGGUGGGGACCUUUGCUGCCCCCACUUGAGUGGGUUGAGUUACUGACGUGAACUUCCUGUCUGGGUUGGCGCCCCCCCUUGGUUGUGCUGUGGUGGAGACCUUUGUGGGCUAUACUCGGCCUUGUCUCAGGAUUAACCUGAGCCCUAGGACCAUACGUCAGGACUACCGGGCAUGCUGACACCUUGCUGUCCCCAGUCCGCCCGGCCUUGCUGCUAUUCCAGUUUCAACUGUUUCUGCCUGCGGUUACGAAACCCCUACCUGUCCCAGACCUGCUGUUUUCAACUCUUAAUGAUCGGCUAUGAAAAGCCAACUGAGAUUUAUUCCUGAUUAUUAUUUGACCAUGCUUGUCAUUUAUGAACAUUUUGAAAAUCUUGGCUCUUUCUAAUUUUCUCCUUCUCUCUUUCUCUCGGAGGACCUGAGCCCUAGGACCAUACGUCGGGACUACCGGCCGUGGUGACUCCUUGCUGCCCCCAGUCCGCCUGGCCUUGCUGCUAUUCCAGUUUCAACUCUUCUGCCUGCGGUUAUGGAACCCCUACCUGUCCCAGACCUGCUGUUUUCAACUCUUAAUGAUCGGCUAUGAAAAGCCAACUGAGAUUUAUUCCUGAUUAUUAUUUGACCAUGCUUGUCAUUUAUGAACAUUUUGAAAAUCUUGGCUCUCUCUAAUUUUCUCCUUCUCUCUUUCUUUCCCUCGGAGGACCUGGGCCCUAGGACCAUGCGUCGGGACUGCCGCCCGUGGUGACUCCUUGCUGUCCCCAGUCCGCCUGGCCUUGCUGCUAUUCCAGUUUCAGCUGUUCUGCCUGCGGUUAUGGAACCGCCACCUGUCCCAGACCUGUUGUUUUUCAACUCUUAAUGAUCAGCUAUGAAAAGCCAACUGAAAAUUAUUCAUGAUUAUUAUUUGACCAUGCUUGUCACUUAUGAACAUUUUUGAACAUCUUGGCAUAGUUCUGUUAUAAUCUCCACCCGGCACAGCCAGAAGAGGACUGGCCACCCCUCAUAGCCUGGUUCCUCUCUAGGUUUCUUCCUAGGUUUUGGCCUUUCUAGGGAGUUUUUCCUAGCCACCGUGCUUCUACACCCGCAUUCUAGCUGUUUGGGGUUUUAGGCUGGGUUUCUGUACAGCACUUCGAGAUAUUAUCUGAUGUACGAAGGGCUAUAUAAAAUAAAAUUGAUUGAUUGAAAUUGAUUGUUAUCAGGUCUGAGUAGUCAAUAAAGAUAAUACGAAGCUA